GCCUGGAUGGCUCAGUGGUUGAGCGUCUGCCUUUGGCUCAGGACGUGAUCCCUUGGGAUUGAAUCCCAUAUCGGGCA
rnacentral:tRNA from 1 species